GGCAUAAUUUUAUUCCACUUCAACUACAUCCCUUUGUUAUGCGCCCCCUCCCUAUUUACAUGUCAAUUCUUAAGUAAAACAAAGUGCCCCAUCAACAUUAUUAAUUUCAUUUUAUUCAUAUUAAUCUUUACCCUAAAAUGCUGGCCACUUCCUAAUUUUGUUCCACUAUUUUGUGCUUAUCCUGAUAACUAAUACUCUUUAUUGCUCAACCGACAUAUCCUACUAACACGUAUUGCAC
rnacentral:lncRNA from 1 species